rnacentral:rRNA from 1 species
GAUGAACGCUAGCGGCAGGCCUAAUACAUGCAAGCCGAACGGCAAGUCUUUUAGCAAUAGAAGACCUAGAGUGGCGUAAGGGUGCGUAACACGUAUGCAAUCUGCCCUCAACAGGAGGAUAGCUCCCCGAAAGGGGAAUUAAGCCUCCAUAGGAUCGUAAUGUGGCAUCACAUAGCGAUUAAACUACCAGGGGUUGAGGAUGAGCAUGCGCAUGAUUAGUUAGUUGGCGGGGUAACGGGCCCACCAAGACGAUGAUCAUU